rnacentral:rRNA from 1 species
GAUGAACGCUGGCGGCGUGCUUAAUACAUGCAAGUCGAACGGACAGGCGCUGCUCUUGUGGGGUGCUCGAGUGGCGAACGGGUGUGUAACACGCGAGUAACAUGCCCUUGUCUUUGGGAUAACUCUUGGAAACUGGGGCUCAUACCGGAUAGGAGCUCCUGAUGCACGGUGGGGGUUGGAAAGUUACGGCUGUUGGGGAUGGUCUCGAGGCUUAUCCGCUAGUUGGUGGGGUAGUGGCUUACCACGGCUUUGACGGGUAGCCGGCCUGGGCGGGUGACCGGCCACAUUGGGACUGCGAUACGGCCCAGACUCCUACGGGACGCAGCAGGGGGGAAUAUUGCACAAUGGGCGGAAGCCUGAUGCAGCAGCGCCGCGUGCGGGAUGACGGCCUUCGGGUUGUAAACCGCUGUCGCCUGUGACGAAGCGUUAGUGACGGUAAUUGGUAAAGAAGCACCGGCUAACUACGUG